GCCCAAAUUCACAACCGAACAUAAAUUAACGAUCACCUUCACAAGGGGAUCACAAGCAUGUACGGAUAGGAGUCAUGUCAACAUGGACACAAGCAUGGAAGGGCAACGGGCCAAAAAUAAACACGGAAGCUAUGCUUGAACUCGGACGCACGAGGCUGUACAGGGUUAUGGAAAUUUCAUCAAGAAGUGUACGCGGUCGAAGAUCGAGUCAAGUCAUGGAUUGUACGUGGGUGUGUAUGUGGUCACUUAAUUUGAUAUAUGUAUGUUAGUUUUCAUUAAUUUAUAAAAAGAGAUUAAUGUAUUUAAGUGAAUUGAAGAGUAUCAUGAAAGAAAUUUUACA